AGAGUUUGAUCAUGGCUCAGGAUGAACGCUAGCGACAGGCUUAACACAUGCAAGUCGAGGGGCAGCACGGGAGUAGCAAUACAACUGGUGGCGACCGGCGCACGGGUGAGUAACGCGUAUGCAACCUACCUAUCAGAGGGAAUAACCCGGCGAAAGUCGGACUAAUACCGCAUAAAACAGGGGCACCGCAUGGUGAUAUUUGUUAAAGAAAUUCGCUGAUAGAUGGGCAUGCGUUCCAUUAGGUAGUUGGUGAGGUAACGGCUCACCAAGCCGACGAUGGAUAGGGGAACUGAGAGGUUGGUCCCCCACACUGGUACUGAGACACGGACCAGACUCCUACGGGAGGCAGCAGUGAGGAAUAUUGGUCAAUGGGCGGGAGCCUGAACCAGCCAAGUCGCCGUGAAGGAAGAAGGAUCUAUGGUUCGUAAACUUCUUUUGCAGGGGAAUAAAGUGCAGGACGUGUCCUGUUUUGUAUGUACCCUGAGAAUAAGGAUCGGCUAACUCCGUGCCAGCCGCGGC
rnacentral:rRNA from 1 species